AUUAAUAAGCGGAGGAAAAGAAACUAACAAGGAUUCCCCCAGUAACGGCGAGUGAAGCGGGAAUAGCUCAAAUUUGAAAUCUCCGACGCUUGCGUCGGCGAGUUGUAGUUGCGAGAAGCACUUUCUCGGCGGAUCGGGCGUGCCUAAGUUGCUUGGAACAGUACGUCGCAGAGGGUGACAACCCCGUCUGUGGCACGGCCGGCCGCUCACGAUGUGCUUUCGAAGAGUCGGGUUGUUUGGGAAUGCAGCCCAAAACGGGUGGUAAACUCCAUCUAAAGCUAAAUAUUGACGUGAGACCGAUAGCGAACAAGUACCGUGAGGGAAAGAUGAAAAGAACUUUGAAAAGAGAGUUAAAAAGUACGUGAAACCGUUGGAAGGGAAACGAAUGGACUCAGCAAUGCGCCGUUUUGAGAUUCAGCCGGCCGGCGGGAUCGGCUCGGGGUUUGCGGAUCUGAAUGGACCGCUAUCUCGGGCUCGUUUUUCCCGGCCGUCGCACUUCUCUUGGGCGCACGUCAACGUCGGUUGGGACUGGGUCUGAAAGGCUCCGGGAAGGUAGGUCCGCGCGUUCCUCGCGUUCGCGCGUUCUGUUACAGCCCGGUUCUCUUGCGGCUCGGGCCCGACCGAGGCGGUUGCAGCGCAUGCCUCUUUUGGCUAGGGUCCCGUCCGUCCGGCCGGUUGUCGACCGCGGUGGACUGCUUGCAGUGCUCCGCGACUGCUGCCGGUCGUUGGGGUGGUGAUCUCGUACCAUGCGCUAAGGAUGUUGGCGG
rnacentral:rRNA from 1 species